rnacentral:rRNA from 1 species
AUGUACGGCCGGUGCGGCAACAUGACGCACGCCCGCAGGACGUUCGACCACAUGCCUGACCGGGACAUGGCCUCCUGGCACCUCAUGAUCGAGGGCUACGCCGGCAACGGGCUCGGGGACGCCGCGCUGCAGCUCUUCGAGGAGAUGAAGCGGUGCGGCAUGGCGCCCACCGCCCGCACCUUCGUGCUCGUGCUCGACGCGUGCGCCAACUCGGAGGCCAUCGAGGAGGCCUUCCUCUACUUCGACGCCAUGUCCCGGGACCACGACAUCGAGCCCGGCAUGGAGCACUACGUCGGGAUCAUCGAGGUGCUGGGCAAGUCGGGGCACCUCAACGAGGCUGUGGAGUACAUCGAGAAGCUGCCGUUCGAGCCCAAUGCCAUGAUCUGGGAGUCGCUCCUGAACCUGGCACGCAUGAACGGCGACAUUGACCUCGAGGACCGGGCGGAGGAGCUGCUGGUCUCGCUCGACCCCUCCAAGGCCAACCCCAAGAAGCUCCCGACCCCUCCCCCGAAGCGGCGGCUCGGGAUCAACAUGCUCGACGGGAGGAACAAGCUGGGGGAGUACAGGCUGCCGCCCAAGAUCGAGAAGAAGGUGGUGAACGAGCAGCGCUACGUCCCCGACACGAGGUACGUGCUCCACGACAUUGACCAGGAGGCCAAGGAGCAGGCGCUGCUGUACCACAGCGAGCGGCUGGCCAUCGCCUACGGCCUGAUCAGCACCCCGGCCAGGACCCCGCUGCGCAUCAUCAAGAACCUCAGGAUCUGCGGGGACUGCCACAACGCCAUCAAGAUCAUGUCGAGGAUCGUGGGGCGGGAGCUCAUCGUGAGGGACAACAAGCGGUUCCACCAUUUCAAGGAGGGCAAGUGCUCCUGCGGCGACUACUGGUGA